rnacentral:lncRNA from 1 species
AAAUAGUCAAAACCGUAUGCCUUGGCCGCGAGAGUAUGUCGGUCACCGCCUCAGCGGGAGCGGUGCUUGCACGUGUACGUGUCUGUGUUGAAAGCACUGAUUGCGAGGAGGACUACACCGUGAAACCGUGUACUUAUAUUUAUUAACGAGGAAAACGCUGAAUUUGGCGGAUCUAACCCAUUUUUGAAAUGGUAACGAGGAAAACGCUGAAUUUGGCGGAUCUAACCCAUUUUUGAAAUGGGGCUGCUGAACAGAUAAAGCUUUCUUCGCCAAAGCGACAAAUUUACACCCCGCACUUGGCCUGUCCGAAGGGGCCCUCCGGCGAACCAGGACUCCUUACCAGAAGAUGACCGCGCGGCCCUUGGCGGGGUAUAUGCGGAGCCCC